AAAAAAUAACUAGUUAAAGUUAAAAAUUAAAUCAUUUAAAAUUAACUAAGUUAAAAGUAAUUAAUUUUAUUAUUUCACCUUUAAUUUUUUAAUUACCAACCCUGCAAAUAAGUUACGAGAGUUUGUAGUGCGUUAUGAUGCAAGUAGGUUUCCCUAAAAGUCGUUGACAAACGUCAACAGACGUGGUAGUAAACGCGUAGUUAGAGAAACUGCGCAUUAGCUGAAGCGCACAUGCAUGCCGUCGGUUAAAGUCUCAUCGCGCAAGGUCAACAACCCGUAAGAUAGACGUCACACCGCGCGCCGUCACGGCCUCCCCACUCUGCCGGCCACUCGUUGUCAGUCAUUCACCUCACGCGAGGCCAGAGGCCGCCAACGCGCACGCUCGCAUCGUCUGGGCCUCUUUUCCACUCUCCUCGUAAACAAAAGCCGCGACGACUCAGACGGUCGAUAUUCGUCGCCAUUCGCCACCGCUACGGCCACCGAUGCCGCUACCAAAAAGAAACCUGAGAAAGGCCAUGUCGUCGAUUCUCGUGUGACGCUUUCUCUAGGUCGUAGUACAGUGGCGCCAAUGGAUCCACAUUUGGCGGAUCUAUUGGCGCCACUGGAAUACUGGAUCCGUGCCAACCGAUCGAGAUUCCUGACUUCUUAACCGAGGACUCCACGUUGACAAUGGCGACGAUAUCACGGAAAAAAUUAGAACAAAUAGGUGUAAAACAUGACAGACGAUGAAAUUUUGUCUUGUAUGUCAUUUCGUUAUUAUGUAUAAAUGUAUUUUAUUAUGAAAAUGUGACUCGUUUCGUAUUUAUCAAAUUCGUAAAAAAAGACCGCAAGUAAAGUUAUCUUUAACUUUAAUCUAAAAGAACAAAGUUAAAGAAACGAUUCAUCAAUUUAAACAUAACUUUUUUUCUAGGUGUAAGUUAAGGAAAUAAAGAAUAUAAAACAUUUUACAGCAUUUUACACUUGCUUUAUAUUACAACUCGUAAUACAAUUGAACAUUCCUCUGUCACAUUAUAUUUAUUUAUUGAAGUUCUUUUUCUUUGUACAAAAGUUUAUGGAAAUAGAACGAUUGGACAAUUUACAAUUAUCACGAAUUAUUUCUGCAUUAUCUAUAAUUUAUCUUGCACGGCUUUUCUUCGAUGUAUAAUUAACAAUAUAAUAAUGUAAUUCAAGCCGGAAGACAAUCACAAAUAAUUUACAAAAUACAUAAUUAUUAAAUAAACAAAAUAAAAUCAUAACUUUAUUAGACGUUUAUAUUCAUUAAUACAGUAAUCAAAUUCCAGCAACCUAUAGUAUAUAUUUCAUUGCGUAUAAUUUAUUGCAAAUAAUUUAGUCACCAAAUAAAAAAAGCAAAG